rnacentral:misc_RNA from 1 species
AAGUCGUAACAAGGUUUCCGUAGGUGAACCUGCGGAAGGAUCAUUAACGAGUAAGGGUCCUGACCGGCCCGACCUCCAACCCUUUGUCGUUGAAAAACCACUGUUGCUUUGGCGGGACAGCGGGUCCCCAGGGGCCACGCCGCGUCGCUGCGGCCCGGCCGACGCGCCUGCCAAGACGUACCAACCAUUAAAUCUUCGUCAUAAGAACAGUACGUCUGAGUAAAUUGAUAAAUCAAUCAAAA